rnacentral:misc_RNA from 1 species
GAAAUGCGAUAAGUAAUGUGAAUUGCAGAAUUCAGUGAAUCAUCGAAUCUUUGAACGCACAUUGCGCCCAUUAGUAUUCUAGUGGGCAUGCCUAUUCGAGCGUCAUUUCGACCCUUAAGCCUAGUUGCUUAGUGUUGGGAAUUUACGGGCUUGCCCUGUAACUCCCGAAAGUUAGUGGCAGCGUUGCGGCAUUCUCUAAGCGUAGUAAAUUUUUUCUCGCUUCUGUAGGUGCUGUAGCGGUCGCCAAUAUACCCAUAUGUUUUUUUACGUGGUUGACCUCGGAUUAGGUAGGAGUACCCGCUGAACUUAAGC